rnacentral:lncRNA from 1 species
AUCGAAACCAUAAAUUUUUUACACAAUAGAAUUAUAUAUAAUUAAUAGAAUAUAUUUUUAUAUUUUAGUCUAUGAUCUAAACGAGUCGCACAUACACCCUAGUACAUGUUCCUCGGCGCUGAGGGCAUCCCCGAAGAGCGGGAGAUUUGGUGACAUUUCGGAUUGGCUGUCUUGCGUUUCUAAUAAGUUGUUUUAUAGUUGGCAUGGUGAGUCAUAUACAUAAUUAGCCGGUUUAGAUCAAUCCUAACCCGAUGAUUAUGAAUUAUUUAGAUUCGAUUAAAUCGGGUUAGUAAGACGAUUAAAUCAGGUUAGUAAGACGAUUAAAUCCGGUUAGGAUCUGGAAGACGAUUAAAUCAGGUUAGGAAGCAAGCAGGUUAGGAAGACGAUUAAAUUCAGGUUAGGAAGACGAUUAAAAAGAGAAAAUUUAAUCUCAAAUCUUGUAGUUAUCAGGAAUCCUUUCUGCUCUUUUUUUAUUCACAAAGAAUCCGCUACCAUAUCAACAAGUCCGUAGGCUUGAGCUUCUUCUGCUGACAUAAAAAGAUCCCUUUCCAUGUCUUUGGAUAUCUGCCAUGAAGGUUUGCCUGUUCUUUGUGCAUAAAUAUUUGUGAGUUGUCUUGCAUUUCUAACAAGUUGUUUUAUAGUUGGCAUGGUGAUUCAUAUACAUAAUUAGCUGGUUUAGAUCAAUCCUAACCCGAUGAUUAUGAAUUAUUUAGAUUCGAUUAAAUCAGGUUAGUAAGACGAUUAAAAUGAAAAAAUUAAAUCUCAAAUCUUGUAGUUAUGAGGAAUCCUCACUACGCGAAAAAACGGCUUUUACAGCGCUUUUUUUAAGCCAUUUACACCGCUUUUUCAAAAAAAUAAGCGCUGUGGAAAUGAGCGCUGUAAAUGAUACAACAGCGCUUUUAAAAAAGCGCUAUAAAACAUGUAAAUACAACGCGCGCUUGUUAUGCACAUUUUACAGUGCUUUUUUGAGAAAGCGCUGUAAUAUGCCAACCCAUAUAUGAGUUAUGGGGUGGCCUUUUAAAACGGUUUUUUUAAAAAGGGCUUCCCGACGGGAGUAAGAGUAAUAAUAAUGUUUAUAAUGCUACAGCAACUGGAAUAGUAAACAAAAUCAUACGAAAAGAAAAAGGUGGAUACGAAAUAACGAUAGUGGAUGCAGCGGAUGGACGUGAAGUGAUUGAUAUUAUCCCUCCAGGACCAGAACUUCUUGUUUCAGAGGGUGAAUCCAUCAAACUUGAUCAACCAUUAACUAGUAAUCCUAAUGUGGGUGGGUUUGGUCAGGGGGAUGCAGAAAUAGUCCUUCAAGAUCCGUUACGUGUCCAAGGUCUCCUGUUCUUCUUCGCAUCGAUUAUUUUGGCACAAAUCUUUUUGGUUCUUAAAAAGAAACAAUUUGAGAAGGUUCAAUUGUCCGAAAUGAAUUUCUAGUUACUAAGAUUUAUCAACAUAUUAAGCUCGUAAAAAGAACUCCAUUUUUGUUGAUAAAUUAUGUAAAGACCUUUGGUUCUCUACACUCUUUUUCUACCAUAUUUAGAGAAUUCCUUGUACCGUAGAACUAGUCAGUCAUAGUAUAUAUAUUGGGAAGAAGACUGUUUGACUUUGGUUCUUUGCUUUUUUUUUUCAACUCUAUAAUCAAUUCGAACCAUAUGAUUAUGUCGCUGUUUUCACAUUUCAAUGUACUACACAAUGUACUACAAUAGAAAUAUAUUAAUCCCUUUCUAUUGUAAUAAAAUUUGAAUGAAAUUCGACUCGAUACUAAAUCUUAAAAAAUAGGCAAAUAAUAUUAAGUAAAGUCGGAAUAGAAAUGGAGAAAAGGGGAAAAGGGGAUUCUAGGAUGGAGAAUUUGUCUUUUCCUAGAGUCCGAUUCCUUCUUGUUUAUAUCGAAAUAGAUACGUAGUGAAGUAAUGGACAAACAAAAAAGAGCGUGAAUUUGAUUCACUAAAUAGAACUUCUUUAAUUUACUUAAAAAAUAAGAAUGAAAUCAUGAUUCGAUAUUUUUAGAGACUUAAAUAGAUUUCGAGUACUAUUUCAUUAGUAUAGUAUCAAAAAAGUUAGGUUCUACAGAAUAUUUGAGUGGUAGAAAAUAUAUAUUAUAUAAGAAAUAUAAUACAUUAUAUAAUAAUUCUUACAAAAUAUAAUUCUUUCAUAUAGAAUACUAUAUUAUUGCGCCACCCCCAAGAAGUAUUCCUUCUUUCCUUUACUUUUCUUUCAACUUGAAAGAAAAAGUAUCGACAGAUAUUAUCCAGAAAAAAUGUUUUGAAUCAAUUAAUGAAGUUCAUUUUUCAAAAACAUCCUAAAAAAAAUGAAAUGGAGUUUUUUGAAACAUACCAAAAAGUUAUCUAUUGAGUCAUUUACAAAAAGAUUUUGAUUAUGAAGAACUCAACGGGACCCCCUCGAAUUCGUCAAAGAAAGAGUGGAUCCCUGUUGAGUUCUUAUGCUUUCAUUUCGAAAACUAAAUUCAUCCGAUUACUACAGGGAUGAUCCCAAUCCAGAAUAUGAACCAUAAAAGAAAAUACCAAUUAAACCGAUCACGGCAAUACCAGCUACAGUACCUAUUAUCCAAAGAGGAAUCCUUCCAGUAGUAUCGGCCAUUUAUCCCACUUUCCUCCACAUUUGAUCAAGUAGUCAGUCAUGCUAAAGACCUAAACAGUCAUAGAUAAUUAUGAAAUGAUAUCCUUCCGAAUGGGAUAAGAGAACUCCUAAUAUAUAUAUAUACUAUUCCCUUUUGUUCUAUUAAUUGAAGAAAUAAUUUGAAAAUAAAACAGCAAGUACAAAAAUGAGUAAUAACCCCCAGUAGAGACUGGUACGAUUCAAUUCAACAUUUUGUUCAUUUGGGUUUGAUUGUGUCGUAGCUCUAUAAUUCGGAUUAGGUUUAUCGUUGGAUGAACUGCAUUGCUGAUAUCGAUCCCAAAAAAGAAACGGUGGGUACCGCUAGUCCGUGAACAGCCAACCAUCGUACUGUAAAAAUGGGAUAGGUCCUAUCUAUGGUCAUUGGAGCCUCCUAAAAAGAUCUACUAAAUUCAUCGAGUUGUUCCAAAGAAUCAAAACGGCCAGUUAUUAAUGGAAUUCCUUGUCGGCUUUCUGUAAAAUACUCGUUUGGCCGGGGGCUUCCAAAUACAUCGUAAGCUAAACCCGUGCUGACAAAUAACCAACCCGCAAUGAAUAGGGAGGGUAUAGUAAUGCUAUGAAUAAUCCAGUAUCGAAUACUGGUAAUAAUAUCAGCAAAAGAACGUUCUCCUGUGCUUCCAGACAUGCCGAGCUCCACAUAUUCUUUAUUCUUAUACAGUCAAAGGGGGAUCGAUUCCAAAAAAGAUCAGAUCAGUAAGUAUAAAUUUACUGAAAUCCAAUCUUUGUUAGAUCGUCAAUUUUGUACCAAGGGUCUCUUUCGAGUAUACCGAAUCAGUAUAGCUAUCCUUCUUCUAACACAGCAACGAAAUUUCACAAUCAGUGGCGAGAUCAAGUACUAGAAAAUCAAAUUUAUUUGUUUUUUCUUUGUUGGUUGUUUCGAUAUACUGAAUAGAAAAUUCCUCAAAGUUUAAGACUAUAAGAUGAUGGUUCUCUACAUUCAUUAUUAGCUUCGCACUAGAAACUAAAGAUCCAUAAAAAUGUUAAUGGGAUGAAGUGGUUUCUAAUAAUUAAUAAAACAAAUUAGAAUAUUUCUAGAAUUCAAUUAGAUAAGAAAUCGAGAAAUAAACUUUUUGUGGUUGUCAAGGCUAAGACUCUAUCUUCCUUGUUUUAAUUACAAGGAUAGAGUUAAAAUAAAAAUAUUUAAAUAAAAUAUGAUAUGAUGAAAAUAUAAAAAAACCGCGGACCCCUAGUUUCGAGUGAUCUAAUACCCUUUUAUUUUCGUUCAAGGUAUUAGAAGAAUGAGAUAUAUUACAAAAUAGAAUAAGUUCAAAAUCAAAGUCAAGAAGUCAGGGUCACUCUCCUCUUUUGUUCUAAACUAAUCGAAUGAAAAAAUUAUCAUUCGAUUAGUUUACUCAGCUCAUGAGUUGAUCAAAAAAUCUGUUGAUUUGGAAUCACAGGAUGGGUAGAUGUCACAGAUGAUUAAUUGAUUUCUUACCUAUGUAAUUAUAUUUUUAUUUUUGUUCGUACGUAAUAUAUGGAUUCAUGAAUCCAUUAUUUUCAAUUGUACCUUUUAAGUGGUAUUUUUUGCUUCGUUUCCUAUUUUUAUCUCAAAAAAAGAAACUUAGGAAAGUGCUUUAUAAACAUAUGUAUAAUAAAGACCAUAUUUCAUCUAGUUUCCUUAUGCCCACUAUAACCAGUUAUUUCGGUUUUCUACUAGCAGUUUUAACUAUAACCGCAGGUCUUUUUAUCAGUCUGAAUAAGAUACGACUUAUUUGAUUUCAAAUUUACAGAUGAAUUGGCAAUUUUGGAAUAGUUUCGAUAUUCUAUAGUGACUUAUCAUGUCAAUUGCCAAUUCUUGGUCAUUGAGAUUCAUGGUCAAUACAGAUUCAUAUUUAAGGAUAGAUAUUACCCCCACUUUUUUUCCUUUCAAACAAACUCAAAUGAUUGAAGUUUUUCUAUUUGGAAUUGUGUUAGGUCUAAUUCCUAUUACUUUGGCUGGAUUAUUUGUAACGGCAUAUUUACAAUACCGACGCGGUGAUCAGUUGGAUCUUUGAUUAAGUAACAUUUAUUUUUUUUAUUGACUUCCUAUUCCUUUUUUAUUUGUUUGUUUGAAUCCAAAUUCAAAGGAGAUCAAAUUCAUACUUUAUAUUAGACUGUUAUGCCAUUAUUUCAGUGUCAUUCUCAAUCUAACAAAUCACGCUCUGUAGGAUUUGAACCUACGACAUCGGGUUUUGGAGACCCGCGUUCUACCGAACUGAACUAAGAGCGCUUUAUUUUCCUAAAUAAUUUUAUGUGAUUCCAAUACAUCUUGCAUGCAUACAUACUCAAUAUGGAAAACUAUUCAUAUUGAGUAUGUACGUCCAAUUGGAAUCGGUCUCAAUGGAUCUAUUGUUACUGCUAUUACGAUAACUAAUAGAAUAGUUAGCGAUAGGGAUGACAGGAUUUGAACCUGUGACAUUUUGUACCCAAAACAAACGCGCUACCAAGCUGCGCUACAUCCCUCUUUCAAUUGGUUUACAGUGUCAUUGUAAAGAAUUUUUGUCUUCUUUUCCACAUUUUUCCAUUAUAUAUAUCAUAGAUCCUUGCAUUUUUUUGUUUUUUUUUUUAUUUCUUAUAUCGUAUAAAUAAAAUAUCGAAUAUGAAAAAAGAAAAAUAUUCAAUUUCUAUAGACCGAUACUAUUCUAUUUAAUUAAAUAAAAAGAUAGAAUAUAUAAAUAAUAAUAAUAUAAAGAGUAUAAGAAUAAAGAAUAUAAAUAAAAAUAUAUAUUAAUUAAUAUGAAAUAGAAUUCAAAUAUCAAAAAUGAAAAAUCAAAUUUUGAAUUUCAAAAAAUUCAAAAUAUAGUAAUAUAGUUAUUAUAAUAAAAUUAUAAUAUAAUUUAAAUAAAGAAAAUAGAAAAAGCAUAUUCUAUAAAAAUAAAAAAAAAUAUCUAAUUAAUCGUUGUAUAAUUCAAAUUGAAUUCGAAUUUCCCCCGACAAAAGCAAGUGGUUAUUAAUAUUAAUUAAUAUUUAAAAUUUAUUCAUAUUCCUAUAUGUAAUUAGGUAUUAAAAAUUACAACAAAAAAACGAAGGAGGAUUUGAAAUGCGAGAUCUAAAAACAUAUCUCUCUGUGGCACCAGUGGCAAGUACUCUAUGGUUCGUGGCUCUAGCGGGUCUCUUGAUAGAAAUCAAUCGUUUAUUCCCGGAUGCAUUGACAUUCCCCUUUUUUUCAUUCUAAUUAUGGGCACGGGAGGGGGUAACGAAGGUUAGAGAUCGAAAAAAAAGAGGAAAGAAUAAAGGUCGAUUUGGCCUCGGUGAAACUCGAAAUUUUGCCCAGUUUUCAAUGGAAUUGAAUUAAUACUUCAAUUCCAUUGCUAUUAAUAAUAGAGUGAGCCCAGAAAUGGAAUUGUAAUGCUAGGGCAGGGGCAAUAAUAUCAUACAAGAUACAUGAAGUACUGUAUUGUGAUUCGAAAUAUAGUUCGAAAUCAUUGUAUUACUCACUUAUUACUGUACUAUAUAAAAUUAAUCGGAACAAAAUCUUUCAUAAUUUGAUUUUGAAUUAUCAACUUAUACUUUUUUCUGUUCCUUUUUGAUUCUUCGCUUUCAAUCGUAAAAUCGAAGAGUUAAGUGAAUCAAAAAAAACCAAAGGAGGUUCAUGGCCAAGGGUAAAGAUAUCCGAAUAACUGUUAUUUUGGAAUGUACCAGUUGUGAUAAAAAGAGUGUUAAUAAGGAAUCGAGGGGUAUUUCUAGAUAUAUUACUCAAAAGAAUCGACACAAUACGCCUAGUCGAUUGGAAUUGAGAAAAUUCUGUCCCUUUUGUUGCAAACAUACGAUUCAUGCAGAGAUAAAGAAAUAAACAAAAUGGAUGGAUUGUGGGUUACGCUUAGACGGUAGAUGAUAAAUAAUAUUUCAGAUAGAAGAUAUAUUCUAUAAUUUAAAUAUAUAUAAAUUCUAUAGAUAACAUAUAAAUAAUAUUAUAUAUAUAAUAUUAUAUAACAUGAAAUUAUAUACAUAUACCAUUAUAUAGCAUAUAUUUCAUUAUAUAACAAAUAUAUAUUACAAAAAAAAAAUAAGAAUAUAAAUAAAACAAAUCCUUUUUUAUAAGAAAUGGGGUUUUCGGUAUAGGAAUAAACAAACCAUGGAUAAAUCUAAGCGACUCUUUCUUAAAUCCAAACAAUCUUUUCGUAGGAGUUUGUCUCCGAUCCAAUCGGGGGAUCGAAUUGAUUAUAAAAACAUGAGUUUACUUUAUCGAUUUAUUAGUCAACAAGGAAAAAUAUUAUCUAGACGCGUAAAUAGAUUGAGCUUAAAACAACAACGAUUAAUUACGAUUGCUAUAAAACAAGCUCGUAUUUUAUCUUUGUUACCUUUCGCUAAUUCAUUACCUUUUGUUAAUAAUGGAAAAAAAAAAUAUGAAAAAAGGGAGUCGAUCACUAGAACUACCGCAGUUCGUAAAAAAAAAAAAUAGAGUUACUUUAUUAUUCUAUUGAAUUCUAUUUUGAAUCUAAAUUCAAAUGAAAUGCGGAUUAAUAUUUUUUUUUUUCGAAAAAAUAUGACAAUCCAAUUGGAGUUGUUACGUUGUAAAAAAAAAGCUAAUAGAUGAAGAAGAAUUAUUUUUUUUAUUCAGCGUGGUGGUUUAUUUAUUUUGAUAACUUUGUCAUAUGAAUUCUAUUUUAUCAUACAAAUCUCUUCUAUUCUACGACCUUCCCGGAGUUCAGUCUCCGGGGAAUUUUUAUUUUUUUAUGAUAUCAUUGGCAAUCAUAAAAAAACAAUUCCCUUUUAAUAUAGCUAUUUGUGCAACUAUUUUACGAUUAAGAAGCAAUUGCUUCUUGUACAGAUUAUACAUUAAAUUACUAUAAAUAUAGUAUACGUUUUUAUUUUUCUGGCCAAUUAUUGCAUUUAUUCGACUGAUCCACAAAGCGCGAAAAUCUCUUUUUUUCCUAUCUCUAUCUCGAUCAGACGAAACCAAAGCUUUUAUUUUCUGUUGCGCAAUAGUUCGAGUUAGUUUUGAAUGAGCUCCGCGAAAGCUUGAUGUAAAUAAACGAAUUUUGGUCCUCCGUUUUUGAGCGAUAGAUCCUCGUUUAAUUCUGGUCAUUGAAUAAAUGAGACUUUGAUGAAUAACUAUUUCAUUUUUUUCUUUCAGUUAUUCUUUUAUCCUUCCUAGUCUAUUAAUAACAAAAUGGAUUCUUCCAAUGUAUAAAAGAAAAAUUCCAAUGGCUUUUGCUACUAUAACCUUCCCAACCACGAUUUUUUUAUUUUUUUCUAAGUAUUUAACCUAUAAAUAAUAAAUGAUAUUGAUACUAGGUAUUCAAAAAAACAUAGUCAAUUAAAUAGAAAUAGACAAAAAAAUGGUGGGUUCCAUCGUUUCUAUGAUUACUUUUUAAACGGUGAGGUCCUCUCUAUACACCGGAGCCAUUUCCUUCAUUGAAUCUUCAUUUCAUCAAUGUUAUUGUGAAUUUGUACAGUUCACACUUAUGGGCUCUACCCAUAAAAUAUCUAGUAAUAGGUCUUUCACAACGAAAUCUAGCUAUACAGUAACGGUAUUUAAGUAUGAAGAUUAGCUGGGUAGUUGACCCUCUUAGUCCGUUCAAAAUUUCGGUAGGGCAAAAUUUUUCUUUAUUUGAAAUAGGAUUUUUCCCGCUUAAUGGAUAACUAUUUGUUACCAAUGGGAAAUUUUUUUCAUCUUAAAUUGCAAAUUAAGGUGAUUCGGUUUGCACUAAUCGAAACCAUAAAUUUUUUACACAAUAGAAUUAUAUAUAAUUAAUAGAAUAUAUUUUUAUAUUUUAGUCUAUGAUCUAAACGAGUCGCACAUACACCCUAGUACAUGUUCCUCGGCGCUGAGGGCAUCCCCGAAGAGCGGGAGAUUUGGUGACAUUUCGGAUUGGCUGUCUUGCGUUUCUAAUAAGUUGUUUUAUAGUUGGCAUGGUGAGUCAUAUACAUAAUUAGCCGGUUUAGAUCAAUCCUAACCCGAUGAUUAUGAAUUAUUUAGAUUCGAUUAAAUCGGGUUAGUAAGACGAUUAAAUCAGGUUAGUAAGACGAUUAAAUCCGGUUAGGAUCUGGAAGACGAUUAAAUCAG